UACAGAGGGGGCGAGCGUUGUUCGGAAUUACUGGGCGUAAAGCGUGCGCAGGCGGUGAUGUAAGACAGGUGUGAAAUCCCCGGGCUUAACCUGGGAACUGCAUUUGUGACUGCAUCGCUGGAGUGCGGCAGAGGGGGAUGGAAUUCCGCGUGUAGCAGUGAAAUGCGUAGAUAUGCGGAGGAACACCGAUGGCGAAGGCAAUCCCCUGGGCCUGCACUGACGCUCAUGCACGAAAGCGUGGGGAGCAAACAGG
rnacentral:rRNA from 1 species